AGAUGAAGAAAAAGGCAGCUUGAUUCUAUUAACCAAGUAUUAACACCCCUGGCUAAAGAAACCCUGCAAAAAGGAAGGAUUAACAUUUUCAAUAAAGGGGACCAGAUAUUGCAGUGCUUAUCAUCAGCACUCUCCACUGACAGAAGAAUAGAAAAUGUUCUUAAUAGUGUGAAAGAGAACAGGAGGUACACAGGCAAAGAAUCAGAGGUUGCUGCUUGUAAACAGAGCAAAGAAAGACAUCACAAAUAGGGGAAGUCUCUGCAAGAAAUAGUAACUGUGCAAAUUGUCCCAGCAUCUCUGUGUCUGGCUGAGCUGCAGUUCUGCCGUGGGUGUCAUGGAGAGGGCUUUAGCACUUAACAUCGAGGCCAUGUUUUGCAUUGCGAUUUUCUAGUCACCAUUUUUUUGAAAAACAGACCCCAAAUGUCGUAUACAUGGCAUAAUCUUGCAGAAAACAUACUCAUUUAUUGAGUAGCUCUGAAGUGUAAUGCCUUGUGUUCUUGUGCUGCCUGUCAUUACAGUAGCAGCCUGCCUGUUACGUUAAGGUGCACGUGGAAGGAUGGGGAAUUGUGUGAUUUAAUGUAAACAGUCACAGUCUCUUCACAACUGAGUCUGCUUGAAGUAGCUGUUCAGCAUUGGCCUCUAGAAGCUCAGCAGGACUGGGCCAUUCCCAUCCCUACAGAGUGGGUUGCAAACUAUUACAGUUUUGUCCCCUGAAACAAACCUGUUUUCUUUGGAGAUAAAUGAAGAAGGAAAGCCUCAAAUACAUGGAUAUGAUUGUCUUCAUUAAAAGCUGGCUGAAAAGACUUUAUCCUGUGGGGUCUUCUCUCUGUCUCUCUGAGCUGAACAAGAGUGGGGAAACCAGCAGCUGACUAACACCCUGAACAGACAGGAUCUGCUUAUUGUCUGACAUCCUGGGGAUUUCUCAGAAGAGAUCAGGGAAGUAAGGGGACAAUCGAGGCAGCUGUGAGUGUUUCCUGAGCUGCAAUGGGGCUGGCACCAGCUCUAGAAGUCAAAAUGUUAAAGGACUAAAGUAGAUUGGGAAGGACUGACUCAUGGCAAAGAGAAGUAAAAUGAAACUGGCACCCAAAGCAUCUUCAGACCACCAGCUACUCAACAGCAUCUCUGCUGGGUUUGCUUAUUUUCUGAAAACUAGCCAUGUGCUGGAGGACAUUCCCCUGGGACUUCCUGGUCCUGACAGGCUAACUAUCCCAGCACGUGCAUGGCAAUUUUAGGCAGAAACUUUAAAAUCCUGGAUUAAUUUUCUAGGCUGAAUAGCUCCCUUCUCACAAUACACGUGCAGUUCUUGCUCUGUGGUAAAUCACAGUUACUCACCUGAAGCUCGCUGCAGUUGACUGAUAGAUAAAAUACUCGUAGUCUAUGUACAGAAUGUGUGAUUUGACAAGAAAUAGAAACAGUUUUUCCCCUGCAUAAAACCAUUUUCCACCACCCAAUUUAAAGGUAUUGUCAUGACCAAAAUCACAGUUUAUUACUAUCUAAAAGUAGGUUUUGAGGAAGUAAUAUUACACAUCUGUCUUUAGGAAGUGUUGCUGAAACUUCUGCUUUGGGAAGCUCUGACGCACACAAACUGCCCUCUUAUAUUUACCACCUAUGCUGCUCCUUCUCUACAAAAACUCCCAAUAAAAAAACCUUGGCAAAGAAGUCUCUGCUCAAACAGUAUUUUGAAACAAUGCCUCAAGGUUUCAGUAACCCUGUUGAUCUCAUAUGGAUUGUAGCCUGGUGUUUGAGGGGGACCACGUGCUGUGAAAAUGCUCCAGGGCAGACAGAGGUAAGAGCCGAGGUGCAUAGUCUUGUGUUAUAUAUCUAUCUAGCAGACAUGUUUGUAUGUCAAAGCUGCCAUGACUUCUGAAAGCCAGUUUAUUAUUCCCUUUGAAAGUGCAUUUGCCUGUCAUCAGGACCUAUGUGCUGAUCAAAAUUUCAAAGACACCAGAGGUCUCACAAGUCCCACUAAUGAUGAAUGGGACAAAUGAAUGCACAUUGAAAAACUGAACUCUUGUCCCUGGGUUGUUUGGGUUUUUUGACAUGCUGUUCAUACAUAAUUCUCCCUAAAGGUAGUAUGGACUUGAGAAUGCUCAGCUUCUACAAAAGUAAGGGUGAAGAAAGUGGUAAAAUGUAAGUCUGUACUGGAAGUGGGGAGUAAAGAGAUGAAGAAGAGGAGCAGGAAUGCUAUGCUGGGGAAUAUACCAUGAUGCAUGUACUUGCUUAGGGCUUGAUUUUAAAAGAAAUCUGUUCCUAAAGAAAACAAUGAGAUUUUUAUGUUCUGACUGACCAAAGCCUUGAUGCUGUUCCACAGCAUGAGAGCAGUAUCCUUCCUUAGAAAGACAUCAGCAAUCCCAAGUGGCUAUUUCUGCUUUUGUAGUGAGAGAAAAUGGUAAGUGAAAGAAAGAAAAUGAAAUGUCUCUGACAAGAAAACAAUGUGCCAGAAGCAACUCCUUUAAAUACAGAAAGGCAAAAGGACAGAACUUCAUUCAUCCUCCAUCUGUUUUGUGUUUGUUUGUUGGGGCUUCUUGCCAUCUAAUAUUUUACCUUGUAUUUAUUUCUUUUUCCUCUUGAAAUAUUGUGCUUUACAGUAAGAAAUCAUAAAGCUGUAGAGGUUAGAGAUGCAAGAAGCCUAUUAGAUCAUCUGCUUCACUGCUCUUGGCCAGCAAAGAAUUGCUCCCUAUGGUACAUUUUCUAAUGUUUUGUCCAGCCUUGUAAAAAUCCUGAGUGACCAGGCUUCCACCAGAUCCCCCAGCAGCUUUUCUACAGCUGAGUACAUCUUGAAAGGUUUUCCUGCUACUCACCCUAUGGUGUCAUGUUGCUAGUUUCACCCCAUUUGGCACUUCUAUUUCUAUGUAGUAGUCUAAGGUGUUACCUCCCCCUUGGAAUUCCUGUCUUCUGAAUCUAUACCUGCUUAGCAUGGCUUCACAUUAAAACAGGGCUGAAAGGACUUUUGUUGUUCAUACAGACAGAGCUUUUAAAUCUGCUUUGUAAGGCUGUCUGUCUAGGUUCCUGAUAUUUUUUAUUGUUUUCCACCCUCCGUUUAUCAAUUUGUCCAUGCACAGCAACUCCCCCAACUGGGUGUAUUAUUCCAGAUACAUUUGCAUUAAAAUGAUGUAGAAAAUAGAUCUCUAUUGCUUUAGAUUCAAAUAUCUAGGGAACUUUACCCUAAAAUUGCAUCAACAUUUUUGCAGCCAAACUGUAAUGUGCACUUAUGUUCAAUUGGCCACCCACUCUCAUUGCGAAGUGUUUCAGUAUUCCUGCUAGCAGUUUGCCAUUGACUACAAGUGUUUUGGAGGAUUUUGCCUCAGGUAUAUUUUCAUGCUUACAAGUGGAAACUCAUCUUGUUAUUUUCUCUUGUAAUGUCCCCAGACUCAGUAGGUCACUCUGUGUUAUUUCCACAUUCUGACUGACCUUUCAGGUCCUCCCAGGCCAGGGUCAUCUGUGGGAGCCCUUUGUGUACAGCUCAUAUUUCCUAUAUUAUUAAUAAGGACACUAAAUCACAGUGUUUCUGACAUAAACAAUGUUGUUCUGGGUUUUUUUACUAGAUGACUCUGAUUUGUUGCCUAGUGCUAUCUCCUUUCUCUGUGCAUCUUUUGCUUUCCAGUUCAGAUUCUUCUUUCUCUGGGAACUGUGGUGCUGCCCUCUGUACCUAUUUUCUAUUUUCCUCAUUAUGCUUUUUUUUCAGAGGAUUUGUUGUUGUUGUUGUUGUCUUUCAUGUUUUCUGGGCAUAUUAUUUACAGCUGUAUUUUAGCAAAAUAGAAUUAGAAGCAAUGUUCUGGAUCACUGAAUCCAGUUCUCAGUUAUUUCAGAGAGCUAUGCCAUGAAAUCCCUUUAAAAUAUUGAGUUCCAGUUUGAUGAAACUGUAAAACCAAUUAAGUUUUCUGCUCCUGCAUUUUCUACUACACAACCAUUCUCCAGCUAUCCUACAGGUAAGGGUCCAGCUACUAGACAGGUAAAAUCCUGCUUCAGAAUUCCAGACUGAAUUUGCUUAUGACCAGUUCUUAUCUCUUGUCCAGGUGACAUCGUUGUCCUGGAGCUUCAAUAGCUCUUGUUCCUUUCUAUUGCUUUCCCUUUCCCACCUUCAGCAUAUUUAUGGAUAGCAAUCAGAUUCUGUCUCAGCAUUUGCUCUCUGAGUUUAUAAAUGCCAAACUCUGCCAUAAGCUGUCUGAUAAAAGGCAGUGUAAAAACAGCUGGAUUAGGUUUCAGCAAGCUGUCCUGGGCAUGGAGUUUUGCAUGGGUUGUUUUAUACCACUUUCUGCAAGGAAGUGGUAUAAAUCUUUUCAGGAAAACAUCAUGUUAUUGUAACUGCAAGCACUGAAUUUAUGGUUCUUUACCAUAUAAUAUAUAUAUAAUUUCUUUCAGACUUCACUUUUGUAGCUGUUUCCAUUCCCUGGAUAUUCCUAACAUUCCUAACACCAGUUCUUCAUUUGCCAGGUCUAGUUUUAAGCUGCCUUCUGUAACAUGAAUAAUUAGAGUUGCAUGCAAAAGUCCAGAUUAAGUCUCCAAAACAGUUGUGUUCAUGUAUCAAGUGGGAAUAGCUCAGUUGGCCUAUCUUACCUAUGGAAAUGUCAUAGCUAUGGUCAACUGAAUGUAUCCCCCCAGCUCUUUCUUCCCUGUCAUUCCCAGUUAGCAAACUUCAACUCACAGCUGGGUUUUUUUAAGUAGAUAAACUCAUAUGUCGUGCUAUUGCACCUCUUUCUGUUUCUGUUCAUCUAGCCCAUGAAUUAACACAGCCCUUCCACUCCUUUGGAAGUGUGAUCAAGUGUGACCUGAUCCUCAUUCCUAGGGUGAUGCCUUCCAACUUCUAAUAUUCCUUCCCGUUGCUCCUGACUUACUGAAUUUUCUGUUUUCCCCUGUGUAUUAUUCUGGAGUUCAGUGCCUUUGUACAGCUCCAGUUCAUGACCAUCUCAAAUUCAGACAGCUUCUUUCACAGGGGAUCCCAGACUUCCCUUGUGGCUGUAACUCUGUAGGUCAUAAGCAACAGUGUCUUGGGUCUACCUAGUAAAGGGCAACUUUUGGGAUUUCUGCAUACUUUUUUAAACUCUAAAAUGUUCUUUGGUUUUUUUGUUUUUCGUAAAGCUUCUGUUCACGCUGUCUACACAGUUAUCAUGUCCAAGGCUGGUUGUGGAAUGUGACAGUGUCACUUCCCCAAUGUACCAUAGGAUCAGUUGUGUUAUGACCCUAUUACAGGAUAGUACUCAAUCUCCUAUUGAAUAUGUGUGGUGUUUAAAUAAAUAAUUUGAUUAUUUGAUACAGUCAGAUAUUUUUGUAUCCUUUCCCAAUCAUUUGUUAGUGCCUUUUAGUGCAAUUUUACGAAGUGUGUUUGUAAAAUAAAAAAGUCCUUUGUAAGCUGCAUAAAAUUUCAUAUAAAACAAAGUGCUGUUUUCCCUUAAAAGUAUGUCAUAGAACCAGCUACAUUACUUGUUCAAUAAACUUUGUUGUACAGCAAGGAAAAAUGUUAAUUGAUAAAUAGUUAAUAAUUUGUAUCCAUUUUAGCAGAUGUCCAUGAGGACUAGACAGGAAAAAAACCUAGCAGUACAAUUUUCUAUUAGAUAACCAUGUCGAUUUUGCCAAAUUCCAGUCUGAACAGUAAAAGUAGCUCUGAUAUCAGACUAUCCUGUUUUGAACUAUCCUGUUUUUUGUAUUUAAACAUCAAGGUUUCUAGUGUUGAAGGCAUUGUGUUCCUUUGAAUUGUUUAAUUGUGUAUUCUA